rnacentral:lncRNA from 1 species
CAUACGAGCCCAAGCCCAUGGCGAGCUGGCUUGAGCCACUUAAGCCCCACGCAAACCCAACACGCUGAUGAGCCGAGCCUUAGCCUCGCACCCACGUGCGCCACACGCCAAGCAGUCCACUCUCGUGGCCGAACCCACUCCCGUGGCCUUCCAACCAACCUAAAUCGGUCUAAGACUAGUUCAACCGUUCCGGCUCUAAAUUUCUGGACCGACAAUUGAACCAAGGGCAUUUUCACCACAUUUUUAAUGGAUUUGACAUUCCCCAACUCAAAUCUCGCAUUCAGAGUCUACCACACUCCCACUACUCAAGGAGACGUAUUCCUUUUAAGCUAUUCUAACCUAAAUGGAUAACAACACUUGUCUCGACAAGUUAUAGAGUUGAUGAGUGCCCUUGCACAUCAGAAAACCUUGGUGAAUUGAUAGGAGCAUAUUUAUGGCCUUAGUUAGCUAGUUCUUAUGCAUUUAUGUUAUGUUUUCUUAGUUAAAGUAGUCUUUUAAGCUAUUUUCAUGUGUUUUCAGGUUUUAAGGGCAUAUUAUACAAAAAGAUGCAAAUUGGAGCUUUUUGGAGCAAAAGUGAGCUUGGAUUAAAUAGCACAUGCUUGGAACAAAAGGUUUGGACGAAAUUGAAGAUUUGAAGAUUUGAGGAUUCCUAGUCCAAGAAGGAUUCCUAGUCGAAGAAGGAGUCCUAAUUGAAGAAGGAUUCCUAAUCAACGAGGGAUUCCUAGUUGAAGAUGGAUUCCUAGAAGAAUGAAAAUUCCUACUCAAACAAGGUUUCCUACUUGAAGUAGGAAAGUUAAGCCUAAAAGUUGCUAUUUUGGGUUGAUCUUUCCUAAACCUAAAUGGCCUUAAGUUUCAACGACAUUAGAAGGUUCUUAAGCGUUGGAAGACACAAAGAAAGGUUGGAGAGCAAUUCCUUAUCCUUGCCAUGGGUUAGGGUCUAUUUCCUCUUAGUUUUGGGUUUCUAGAAGCCCUAUCCUUUUUCCCCUAACCCUUGCCGCACUUCCCACUUUCUAGAACCUAUUUUCUUGCCUUGCAAGGCUUUCUAGAAGCCUUAUCCUACCCUAUAAUUAUCUGCCGCACCCCCUAGGCCUUUUUCCUUGUGAAUUCUGAUUUCUAAGCCUUUUUCCUUGUGGAUUUGGGUUAUCCAAGUCCAUACCUGAUUACCCUAGGGUUUUAAGUGCCUAUAUAUACUCUCAUUCACCCCUUGGCUGAAUUACCACCCCUUAUAAUACAUCAUUCACGCCAAAAACAUACACCCACUCUCUGCCGCAGCCUUUCAUCACCAUUCUCCCUAAUUUCUGCCAAAAACAACCCCUUGCCGCACUCAUCACCCAUCCUAACCACUCUCAUACCAUUCCAUAUCCAUUCCCCCAUACAAAUACCACCCAAAACUUGUCCAAAAUCUCUGUGCUGCAGCAAGGAGGAAGGAGGAAUCGUGGAUGCACCUGCUGCAAAGUUGGAGCGUUUUAGGUGUUCUCUUUCCUUUGAUUUCAAUGUUUAAAUUUAUUUGUCUUUGCUUUGUGCGUAUGAGGAACUAAACCCCCUUGGCUAGGGGGGAUUCGAAACCAUGUUUAUGCUUGCUAUAUGAUUUGAUUACUUCUAAUU